AAACACGCUGGCGGCGUGCCUAACACAUGCAAGUCGCACGAGAAAGUGGAGCAAUCCAUGAGUAAAGUGGCGAACGGGUGAGUAACACGUGACUACCUGCCCUCGAGUGGGGAAUAACCUCGGGAAACCGGGGCUAAUACCGCAUAACAUCGAGAGAUCAAAGCAGCAAUGCGCUUGAGGAGGGGGUCGCGUCUGAUUAGCUAGUUGGUAGGGUAACGGCCUACCAAGGCGAUGAUCAGUAGCCGGCCUGAGAGGGCGCACGGCCACACUGGAACUGAAACACGGUCCAGACUCCUACGGGAGGCAGCAGUGGGGAAUUUUGCGCAAUGGGGGAAACCCUGACGCAGCAACGCCGCGUGGAGGAUGAAGUCCCUUGGGACGUAAACUCCUUUCGAUCGGGACGAUUAUGACGGUACCGGAAGAAGAAGCCCCGGCUAACUUCGUGCCAGCAGCCGCGGUAAUACGAGGGGGGCAAGCGUUGUUCGGAAUUAUUGGGCGUAAAGGGCGCGUA
rnacentral:rRNA from 1 species